CCCCUCUUAGGGUCGGUCCUGGAGAGUUUCCACUACUCUACCAGUCUUGACUAUGGGAGGGGGAGUCAAGCAGAGGUGUGUCCAUUUCACUCCUAGCUUGGGCAGUGGCUAGUGAGUGAAAGUCAAUCUGCUACAAAC